GGUAGCAAAUAAUGCGAAUUGGACUUUGUUCCAGCAAAUCAAAAAAUGCCGGUGGUAGCAAAAAAUGAAGCUCGCUCCAGCAAACUAAAAUAUCGGUGGUAGCAAAAAUUACAAAAUUAGGGGCUGGUUCAAGCAAACCCAAAAAAUCGAUGGUAGCAAAAACUUGUGAUGGUUCCAGCAAAAAAAAUAAACGGUAGUAACAAAAAUGCGAAAUUGGGCGAUGGAUGCAGCUUUGCCAGCCAUGGAUGUAGCUUUACCAGCCAUGGAUGUAACACCUCCGUCGAGCGGUUCCAGCACCUCACCCAACACUGACGACAGGGGAUGCAGCUUCCCCGGCAACGGAUGCAACACCUCUGCCAGCCGGUUCCAACACCUCCGCCAUGUCGUCACAGCGCCGCCGUCGACGGAUGCAUCUUCACCGGCGACGGAGGUAGCAUCUCCGUCAUGCCGUCGUAGCACCUCUGCUGGGCGGUUCCAGCACCUCCGUCCACUCCUCAUGGUGGGCGCCAUCUCCAGCCUCGCGGGAUACAGGCGUCCGACCUCAUCGAGGGGGAGGAUGAGGAGAUUGAUGGCCAUGGCUUUCUUGGCUUUGCAAGCAGUCCAUGGCCUCCCUUUGC
rnacentral:rRNA from 1 species